GACGAAGGUGGCAACCGUUGUCCGGAAUCAUUGGGCGUAAGGAGCUCGUAGGCGGUUCAGCAAGUCGGCUGUGAAAGUCCGAGGCUCAACCUCGGAAUUGCAGUCGAUACUGCUGUGACUCGAGUCCGGUAGAGGAGAAUGGAAUUCUCGGUGUAGCGGUGAAAUGCGCAGAUAUCGAGAGGAACACCAGUAGCGAAGGCGGUUCUCUGGGCCGGCACUGACGCUGAGGAGCGAAAGCGUGGGGAGCAAACAGG
rnacentral:misc_RNA from 1 species